rnacentral:tRNA from 1 species
ACAGAGAAUAGUUUAAUUAAAAUAUUAAUUUUGGAGAUUAAUGAUAAAAGUAUAUUUUUUUCUCUG